UACAGAGGUCUCAAGCGUUGUUCGGAUUCAUUGGGCGUAAAGGGUGCGUAGGCGGCGCGGUAAGUCGGGUGUGAAAUCUCGGAGCUUAACUCCGAAACUGCAUUCGAUACUGCCGUGCUUGAGGACUGGAGAGGAGACUGGGAAUUUACGGUGUAGCGGUGAAAUGCGUAGAUAUCGUAAGGAAGACCAGUGGCGAAGGCGGGU
rnacentral:rRNA from 1 species